rnacentral:lncRNA from 1 species
UUUGUUUUUGUGAGACAGAGUCUCACUGUGUAGUUGAGACUGACCUGGAACUCACUAUGUAGUCCAGGCUGGUCUCGAACUCAUAGCGAUCCUCCGCCUCAGCCUCCUGAGUGCUGGGAUUACAGGCGUGUGCCACCACGCCCGGCCCUAAAUUUAUUUGUGUAGAUUUAAAAGUGGGCUGAGCCAAUCGUGACAAACUCAUUUUUCUUAACAAAGUAAUAAAAUACAUUUCUUCUAAUCUUUUGCCCUUGAAAUGGCCAUGUGACUGUUCAAACAGAUGAGAAGUAAAAGGAACUCUGUUGCAGAACUUUAGGAAAGAUGUCCCUAUCCUUUAUAAAAAAGGAGGGGAUGAACACCAAGUUAUAAUACUGUACUCCCACUGGUUGCCCCUCCUAGAUUCCAGCCAUUAGACAAGGGAAAUCUAGAACCCUGGCCGCCUCAUAGCGAGCAGAAGGAAAGGUCAUGAGAACCCUAGAAAGUCCCUGAACUUUGUCAUUACCAGCAAACCUUGAAACUCUCUAAAUUCAGAUUUCCUAUGUGUGUGAUACAAUUGCAGGCAUCUGUCAGAUAAGUCUUUUCAUUAUUUUAUUUGUAGUCAUUGGGAUUCCUUGUGAGGAAAGUUCCAUCUAGUCUAGAAGCCAGUUGGGCUUAGAAUGGAGGCUCCUGGUUUGACAAUUCUGGUUACCUUAGAAAAUCUCUGUUUCUACUUUAUAUAGAAGCUUCAUGUAUCAACCUGCUGCACCAUGGGCCUCAGAAGCAGUAGCAUGCUGUCCAGGAUGCAAACAAAGACGAUGACAACAACACAGCAGCAGCAGCAAAGAAGGCAGGACUUACUAAUCCAGCACAGACACUGUGUGGUGCUGGAAGGCAGGCUGAGUGUCAUUACUUCCUCCAAGCUGCAAAGUGGAGGCCCUGGGCCAUGCCCAGCCAGUCUGUUGUGUUCUGCUCAUCUAGCCCAGUGCUUGUAAAAAGAAGAAAUUGUGAAUAUAUUGCCAACAU